UUCCGGUUGAUCCCGCCGGAGGUUACUGCUAUCGAGGUUCGACUAAGCCAUGCGAGUCGAAUGUAGCAAUACAUGGCGUACUGCUCAGUAACACGUGGAUAACCUACCCUUGAGACGGGGAUAAACCCGGGAAACUGGGUAUAAUACCCGAUAGAUCUCGACUGCUGGAAUCCAUCGAGCUCUAAAGCUCCGGCGCUCAAGGAUGGGUCUGCGGCCUAUCAGGUAGUAGUGGGUGUAGCGUACCUACUAGCCUACGACGGGUACGGGUUGUGAGAGCAAGAGCCCGGAGAUGGAUUCUGAGACACGAAUCCAGGCCCUACGGGGUGCAGCAGGCGCGAAAACUUUACAAUGCUGGAAACAGCGAUAAGGGGACCUCGAGUGCCAGGUUACAAAUCUGGCUGUCGUGAUGCCUAAAAAGCAUUGCAUAGCAAGGGCCGGGCAAGACCGGUGCCAGCCGCCGCGGUAACACCGGCGGCUCGAGUGGUAACCGUUAUUAUUGGGUCUAAAGGGUCUGUAGCCUGCCGGAUAAGUCUCUUGGGAAAUCUGGCAGCUUAACUGUCAGGCUUUCAGGAGAUACUGUCUGGCUCGAGGCCGGGAGAGGUGAGAGGUACUUCAGGGGUAGGGGUGAAAUCUUGUAAUCCUUGAAGGACCACCAGUGGCGAAGGCGUCCCACCAGAACGGACCUGACGGCAAGGGACGAAAGCUAGGGGCACGAACCGGAUUAGAUACCCGGGUAGUCCUAGCCGUAAACGAUACUCGCUAGGUGUCGGCCACGGUGCGACCGUUGUCAGUGCCGUAGGGAAGCCGUGAAGCGAGCCACCUGGGAAGUACGGCCGCAAGGCUGAAACUUAAAGGAAUUGGCGGGA
rnacentral:rRNA from 1 species